CACGUAGGGCGCAAGCGUUGUCCGGAAUUAUUGGGCGUAAAGAGCUCGUAGGCGGUCUGUUGCGUCCGCUGUGAAAACUCGGGGCUUAACCCCGAGCCUGCAGUGGAUACGGGCAGACUAGAGGUAGGUAGGGAGAGUGGAAUUCCUGGUGUAGCGGUGAAAUGCGCAGAUAUCAGGAAGAACACCCGUGGCGAAGGCGGCUCUCUGGGACGGUACUGACGCUGAGACGCGAAAGCGUGGGGAGCGAACAGG
rnacentral:rRNA from 1 species